rnacentral:rRNA from 1 species
UGGGGAUGACGUCAAAUCAUCAUGCCCCUUAUGACCUGGGCUACACACGUGCUACAAUGGGAAGUACAACGAGUCGCAAAGUCGCGAGGCUAAGCUAAUCUCUUAAAGCUUCUCUCAGUUCGGAUUGUAGGCUGCAACUCGCCUACAUGAAGCCGGAAUCGCUAGUAAUCGCGGAUCAGCACGCCGCGGUGAAUACGUUCCCGGGCCUUGUACACACCGCCCGUCACACCACGAGAGUUUGUAACACCCGAAGUCGGUGAGGUAACCUUUUGGAGCCAGCCGCCUAAGGUGGGAUAGAUGAUUGGGGUGAAGUCGUAACAAGGUAGCCGUAUCGGAAGGUGCGGCUGGAUCACCUCCUUU